GAGUUUGAUCCUGGCUCAAGAUGAACGCUGGCGGCGUGCCUAACACAUGCAAGUCGAGCGGAGCAAUCUUGAUGAAGUUUUCGGAUGGAAUCAGGAUUGACUUAGCGGCGGACGGGUGAGUAACACGUGGACAACCUGCCUUAUACUGGGGGAUAACAGCCAGAAAUGGCUGCUAAUACCGCAUAAGCGCACGGCGCCGCAUGGCGCAGUGUGAAAAACUCCGGUGGUAUAAGAUGGAUCCGCGCCUGAUUAGCUAGUUGGCGGGGCAGCGGCCCACCAAGGCGACGAUCAGUAGCCGGCCUGAGAGGGCGACCGGCCACAUUGGGACUGAGACACGGCCCAAACUCCUACGGGAGGCAGCAGUGGGGAAUAUUGCACAAUGGGGGGAACCCUGAUGCAGCGACGCCGCGUGAGUGAAGAAGUAUUUCGGUAUGUAAAGCUCUAUCAGCAGGGAAGAAGAUGACGGUACCUGACUAAGAAGCCCCGGCUAACUACGUGCCAGCAGCCGCGGUAAUACGUAGGGGGCAAGCGUUAUCCGGAUUUACUGGGUGUAAAGGGAGCGUANACGGCAGGGCAAGUCUGGAGUGAAAGCCCGGGGCCCAACCCCGGGACUGCUUUGGAUACUGCCAUGCUANAGUGCUGGAAAA
rnacentral:rRNA from 1 species